UUCGGCAGCGUAAAUGAUGUAAACUAAAACUGGAAUGAUACAGAGAAGGUUAGCGUGGCCCCUAUGCAAGGAUGACUCGCAAAUUCAUGAAGCGUCUAUAUAUAUAU